rnacentral:rRNA from 1 species
UACGUAGGAUGCAAGCGUUGUCCGGAAUUAUUGGGCGUAAAGGGUGCGCAGGCGGUUUUUCAAGUCAGAUGUGAAAUAUCCCGGCUUAACUGGGAGGGGCCAUUUGAAACUGAAAGACUAGAGUGCAGGAGAGGGUAGUGGAAUUCCCGGUGUAGUGGUGAAAUGCGUAGAUAUCGGGAGGAACACCAAUUGCGAAGGCAGCUCGCUGGGACGUCACUGACGCUGAGACGCGAAAGCGUGGGGAGCAAACAGG